UGUGAGAGCAAGAGCCCGGAGAUGGAUUCUGAGACACGAAUCCAGGCCCUACGGGGUGCAGCAGGCGCGAAAACUUUACAAUGCCGGCAACGGCGAUAAGGGGACCUCGAGUGCCAGGUUACAAAUCUGGCUGUCGUGAUGCCUAAAAAGCAUUGCAUAGCAAGGGCCGGGCAAGACCGGUGCCAGCCGCCGCGGUAACACCGGCGGCUCGAGUGGUAACCGUUAUUAUUGGGUCUAAAGGGUCUGUAGCCGGCCGGAUAAGUCUCUUGAGAAAUCCAGCAGCUCAACUGUUGGGCUUUCAGGAGAUACUGUUCGGCUCGAGGCCGGGAGAGGUGAGAGGUACUUCAGGGGUAGGGGUGAAAUCUUGUAAUCCUUGAAGGACCACCUGUGGCGAAGGCGUCUCACCAGAACGGACCUGACGGCAAGGGACGAAAGCUAGGGGCACGAACCGGAUUAGAUACCCGGGUAGUCCUAGCCGUAAACGAUACUCGCUAGGUGUCGGCCACGGUGCGACCGUUGUCGGUGCCGUAGGGAAGCCGUGAAGCGAG
rnacentral:rRNA from 1 species